CCCCACCCUCAGCUGCCGUAAAGCUUAAAGCGAGGGGACUGGCUGGGACUUCCCCGGCGUCCCUUGCGCGGCGGCGGCAGCCACGUGACUACUUCGCCAGGCCUCCUGGAGCUCCUCGCCGCUUGCCAACUCGCGUAGGGCUCCCCGGGAAGAUGCCAGGGGUGGGGCUCUGUUGCGCGCCUGGAGCCUCACGUUCGGCUAUCAGCUGCCAUAGGUCAGGUGGCACAAUGAACGUGCUGGAAUACGAGGAAAUUAACCCUACAAGUUAACCAGGCAGCUGCAUAUGUUGGCAUGAUUGAUGAGAUCUGCUACAGUCAAGCAAGCAGCCCUGGGUGACCAGUUUACCCUUCCCCGCUAGGGUUCCAGCUGCCAGUUGCCCCCAUUCUGUGACAGCUUCUCCUUCUUCUCACCUUGUCAUCGAGCCAAGAUUGUACACUGUAGGAGAACAGGUCUGAGUGAUACCACACCUCUUCAAGCGAGCUCCAAAGAGAACAUACCUCACGUGGUAUGCCUGCUAAACUACAAGGGCAGAUGGCUGCUUUAUUAUUGGUUCCUGGUGAAAUACGAAAUUGCUGAGCAAGCUUUUAAGAUUUGUUUUUUGCAGUGGUGUAAAGUGUGAUUUUUUAAAAUAAAGUGUUAAUCUAAUAUUAAAAUUUAUUUUGUGUAUGGACCUAGAACAGAACUGACAAGGUUCCUUUUAUGUGCAGCAAAAAUGUCUAAAUGUUAUACUCACAGUUUUUUGUAUUGUAGGAAAUGCAUGAAAAAUUCUUAGUGAUAGGGGAACGGCCUCUAGGACCUUAGACAUCAGUUUUAAAAGAUAGAUUGUUAUACCUAUAAAUUUGUCUCUCCUGGAACUGACAUCCAAGGUCCCAGGAUCUUUUUUCCAUUCACUGAAGAUUUUUUAUGCAAUUCCUACAGCACACUGUAUUCUAUUCUUUGCAAGAAAUGUUCAACCAUUAAUAUUACAGAGACAGCAAGACACCUUGCCUACUGCCAAAAAUAAAAGGGAGAAAUUAAAAGUGGGGGCACAAUGUACCAUACCUAUCAACAUUUUAAAGAAAAACAAAGGUUUAUUACCAAGAAAGUUACUAGUUAUGUUAAUUACACUCAAGUACAAGAACAUGCUGUGUAUAUUUAGAAAAGAUAAAGAAUGCAGUGAUGUACAAUGAUAUUUUUUGGUAAAAUCAUUUGAGCUAGUUUUUUUUUUAAAUAAUUAAAAAAAUGAUUUUUUUCUCAAUGAGUUUGUGAUGAGAAUCUUUGAAGUUCAAAUAUAAAAGAAAAAGAUACAAUCAUAGGUCUCCAUCCUAAUGGAACAGAAUUUUUAUUUUAUGAUAAUUGUCACAUUGAAAAUUGGUCAGCCAAUUUAACACUGGAAGUCCUAUGUCCAUAAGAGAACUUGGCUAAAAAUUUAAGGAAGUUUUUGAUUUGGAGGAUGCACGUAGCCUUGAAUACCAUGUUCAUUCACAGUAAAAUCUGCUUCAUUUUUUCAUUGCCCAUAUAUCUGUGAUUUCGUAUAAUAUCUGGAAUAUCUUAAAAUUAUUUUUCUUAUUUAAAUAUAGUAAUAAUGGGUUACUGCCAAUAGUCACACUAUAUAUUCUUUACUAGACAUAGCCUAUUUUUUUAUUAUUAAAAAAAACAGGAAUUUCAGAACACCAACAAAGAGACUAACGUCAUGUGAAAAAAGUACAAACUGUAUUUAGAUAUUACUUUGGUGGCUUUAGCCCUCUGAUUAUAUUAUUUCAGUUUUAUGCUUGUAAAGAAAAUUUUUUUUCUUCUCUAUGUGUGCAAGCAAAACAGGAAACCUGACAUUUCAGAGUGUAGAUUCAAAGAAUUUGAUCCAGCAAAAAUUGUCUCUGAUGACUUCCAAUCAUAUUUAUUGUUUCAUAUGAGAUGGAGUUGAUAGGAAAGUCUUCUGUUUUCCAAUAGGAUAAUUAAAUAAUAAUAUAGAUUUAAGACAGGAAACUAUUACCCAUUAUAAUUUCGAGUGUUACAGUGAUGAGGAAAAAAAAUCCUUAGAUACAAAGAACAGCUUGGUGGUUGCCAGAGGCAGGGACUGGUGGGCGGGCAAAGUGGUCAUGAAGGUGGUCAAAAUGUACAACAUUGCAGUUACAAAAUAAAUAAGUCAUGGGGAUGUAAUGUGCAGUAUGGUGACUAUAGUUAAUAAAACUAUAACGUGUACUUAGAAGUUUCUAAAAGAGUAAAUCUUAAAAGUUCUCAUUAUAAGAAAGAAGUUUUUAUAACUAUAUAUGGUGAUGGAUCUUAGCUGGAUUUAUCAUGAUGAUCAUAUCACAGUAUGUGCAAAUACUGAAUCAUUAUGUUGUACACUUCAAACUAAUAUAAUAUGUCAGUUAUACCUUAUUAAAAAUGAAUAACAAGAAAAUGAAACUCAAUUUAAACAAAUAGGCAAAAGAUGUGCAACAUCAUUAGUCAUAUGAUUAGUCUAUUAGAUUGCUAAAAUAAAAAAGACUGACAACUUUAAGUGCUGGAGAGGAUAUGGAGCAACUAUAAACCUCACAUGUUACUACUUGAAAUGUAAAAUAUGAUUACAAAUUUGUUUUUUGGUAGUUUCUUUAAAAUAUAAAAUUGCAGCUACCAAUUCACUCUGCUCCAGGAUUCUCUCCAGGACAACACACUACCCUUAAUUGCCAUUUCUCACUAGACUCCUUUGGGCCAUGACCGUUUUCUGGAUUUACUUUGUUUUUGAAGACUUGAGAGAUUUGAAGCGUAAGAUGUUUGUAGAAUAUGAAUUGAUUGGUAUUUGUGGUUUUUCUUAUGAUUAGACUAGGGCUAUGAUGUUUUGGGAGGAAGGAUACAAAGGUAGAAUUCCAUUUUUAUCACAUAAUACCAAAGGUACAUACUAUAAAUAGGACUUAUCAUGGUUGAUGUUAACCUUGAUCUGGCUAAGGUAGUGUUUGUUAGAUGUCUCCACUAUACAGUUGGUCUUCCCCCACUCUCCCUUGUCAUAAUGUGUACUUCAGAGAAAAUGACUUCUUUCAGCUUACACUGUAUUUCUGUUACUGAAUUCUAAAUUUAAUUUAUUAUGACCUGAGAACAUGCUUUCUGUGAUUUCCAUUCAAUUUGUUCAGAUGUGCUUUAUGCCUUGAAAUUUGGUCUAUUUUGGUAAAUGCUUGUCAAAUCUUGAAUGUGUAGUCUCUUAUUAGAUGGAGUAUUCUAUAGAUAUUAAUUAGAUUAUGUUUGUUAGUGCUGAUCACACUAACCUUUUCUUUAUUGAUUUUUUUUUUAAUGUUCUUAUUCUAUCAAUUACUGGCGGAUAGGUAUGGAGUCUCCUACUAUUAAUGGUUUUGUCUAUUUUUUCUUCUCAGUUCUCAGUUUUUGUCUCAGAUUUUGAUGCUCUGUUGUUAGGUGCAUAAACAUUUGAAAUUGUUAGCUAUUCUGUGAGAACUGACUUCUUUAUCAUUUUGUAAUUCUCCUCUUUAUCUCUAGUAGUUUUCCUUGUUUGGAUAUCUUCUUUGUCUUAAACUAGUGUAACUAUUUGUUUUUAUUUGGCAUCUUUAAUGAUUUCUUUUGGUGAUUUCCUUAUUUUUAAGGCUUUUUUUAGAGCAGUUUUAGGUUUACAACAAAGUUAAGAGGGAGAUACAGAGAUUUUCUGUAUACUUCUUGCCCUCACACAUGCAUAUCCUUCACCAUUAUCAGCAUCACUCACCCGAAUGGUGAGUUUUUACCAAAAUGAACCUACGUUGACAUAUCAUAAUUACCCAAAGUCCAUAAUUUAUCUUAGGGUUCAUUUUUAGUAAUCAUUCUGGAUACAUUGGACAAAUGUAUAAUGACAUAUAUCAUUAGAAUAUCAUACAAAGUACUUUCAUUGCCCUAAAAGUCCUCUGUGCUGUCUUUGUAUUUCUGUCUCCAAAUUUAGAGGCAGUGGUUUGCCCCGUGUCUUCUCCUUACUUGAGGAUCUAAGAAGUGUAUUUAUUUUUCAGUCUACUAAGCAUUUUACUUACGUUAGUAUAAAAUGGCAACCUCCAAGCUUAUUAUGUAUGGAAUUUGAAACUGGAGGUUUAAAGAUUUCCUCUUAAUUUAGUUUCCUCCAACUUGAGUUCCAUGUCUAGGUGUCAUUUUUUGAUAUUUACCCUGCUUGGUGUUCUAUGAGCUUUCUGGAUCAAUGGUUUGGUGUCUUGCCUUGAUAAAGUUCUUAGUUACUGUUAUAUCAGUUAUUUCUUUUGUUCUAUUCUCUCUUUCUUUACUCCUGGUAUUCCAAUAAAAGUCCUACUGUGCUUUUUGGAAUUGUGUAACAUUUAUUGGGUAUUGUAUUCCUUUUUUCUUAAUUUUUAAAUAAAUUAUUUUAAUUCAUCUGGAGUAAGAUUUAUUAAAAAUAUAUAAAUCUAAUUAAUAUGGUUAUGUAAUAUAUUAAAAAUACUAUAUAUUUUAUAUAUGUGUUUUUACAUAUGUGUUUUAUACAUUUACUAUUAUAUAUUACAUUGUACAUAUGUUAAAAGUAAUGGUGAAAUAAAGACUUUUCUUCUGUGUAACUAACCACUAAUCAUUAUCUGAAAAUAACCUCCAUAUUCACUGUGGCAGGCAGACUUUAAAAUGAACCCUAACAAUUCCUGUGUUUUGGUAUUCGUUCCUUAUAUAAUCUCUUUCUUAUGUGAGCCGAGCUGAGGACUUCCUUCUAACCAAAGAAAUGUAACAAGGGUAAUGGGAUGUCACUACCAUGAUUAGACUCUGUAAGACUAUGGCUUACAUCAUCGCAGACUCUCUCACUUACUGGAUUUGACGAAGAAAACUUCAUCAUGUUGGAGAGGUCUGCAAGCAAGAAACUGAGAAUGGCCUCUGACCAACAAGGGACUGAGGCCCACAGUCCCAACAACCUGUGAGGAACUGAAAUGUGCCAGUAACCUUGUGAACAUGGAAGCAUUUCUUUCCCCAGUGGAACCUUCAAAUGAAGCCUCAGUCCUGCUUGGUUCCUUAAAUUCUGACUUGUGAGAGACCCAGAAGCAGAGGACCCAGUUAAGCCAUGCCGGAAUUCCUGACCCAUUGAAACUGAGAGAGAGUAAAGGUGUGUUGUUUGAAACCACCAUAUUUGUUAUAAUUUGUUAUGUACCAAUAUAUAUUUAAUAAACCUAUCAAACAGAGAUUGCUAAAUACCGAAAUACCUAUCUAAUGGAAUACUAGUGAAAAACAAAGAUAAAUGCACUUGUGAUACAUGCAAAAUCAUGGUUCAGUUGCUGAGACAUUAUGCUGAGUUAAAGAAGCAGUACAUAAAUAUGUACUAACUCUUGGGACCCUUUUCAAAUAUGGACUCUAAAAAUCACAAAAGUAUAUAAAGAUAAUUCAAAAAAGUCAGAAUAGAAGGAAAGGACUGAUUAGAAAGAUAAAUGAGGGAACUCUAUAGAAAUUUGUCAUAUCUAUUUAGAGGUGUGCAUUGCAUGGUUGAACACACUGGUCAAAACUCGUUGAGCUUUACACUUUACAUAUGUGCAUCUCACUGUUGGCCAAAAACAAAGUGAACAAAUAAAAAAAAAUGACUAAAAUUCUAUAAAAUGUCAGUUAUUUGUUGCAUAGCAAUGGAAAGCAAUGGAUAGUCCUUGCCUUUAAUGAAUUUAUAGAAGAGAAUCAUUUAACAAUAAUUGAAAGCAUUACAUUUCUUAUAAAAGGAGAAUUAGAGGAUGAUAUGACCAUAUAAAAACUUGUGUCUACCCUACUUUUUCUAGCUGUAGAAUACCUGCAUUUUUUCUGCCAGUUAUUACUAUAUCUUGUUCAUAUCUUGCUAUUUAGUUAUAACUACUGAUCUGACUAUGAAUUGUCACAUGCUGGGUUUAUUUUUUAUCAUGAAGUAAAGUUUGAUAUUACCUAGCCUAACCUUUCUGUUUUACAGUUUAGAAAAACUUUUAUAUCUCUAGACUUGGCUAGGAUUCUAGGCUUAUAUUCAUCCUUGGCUGCGAUGUGAAUAGGGGAAUCAGUGAUUAUUUUCAUUAGGUUUCAUCAUCUGAAAGCAUAGUGACAGUCAUUUCCUUGGCAAUGGGAAUGUUUUAAUGUAAAUUUAUCCUUAAAAAGGAGUCACUUAUUCACUAAAGAGUUGGUUGUAACAAUUGCUGCAGUUACAUAGUGAACAGCAAGUCUAUUUUACUAGUGUAUAGCUGCAUUCGUGUCAUUUACUAAGGAAAAACAAGACAAAACAACUACAAGAACAACUCAUGGUGCUGUAGUUAACACUUUUGUUCGUACUCUGAAGUUGUCUACAUUUGAAACUUUCUGACUAAAAGGCACAUUGGUAAUGAACCGAUUAUUGUAUAGAUCUCCUAGUUCCAUAAAUUCCCAUUUACUAAUUCAUUGCCUAAUGUGCAGUUAUAUCAGGUGAUGAAGUUUUGGUUUGUAAACUUUGUUUCUUUUUUUGCUUCUUAACAUAAAAAAAUAGAACCUCUUCCAUUUACUAAUAUAUUUCCUUCUCUUAAAGCAUUCUUUUUUCCUUCUUCAUAUUAUGGUUACUUGAGAUAUUAAGUCCCUCUGCUUCAUCCACUGCUUAUUGUGCCAGUUUAAUUUGAUCUUAAAGGGUUUGAGGUAGGCCAGAGGUUAAAACCCUUUAGACUCUUCCUCAUUUCCGUUUUACUUACUUUAGAAGUGCCUGUCAUCGCUGACUCUUUAAAACGUUUUUUUGUUUAAUUCAUUCAUGAUCAUAUGUCCGUAUUAUUCUUACUAAAUCAGUUAAACUACUUCCUUUCUGGACAAAAUGGAUUCUCCAGUGCAGGAAAGCUAUAGUCUCUUAAAAAGUAUUAGCAGACACUUUGACACAAUAUUCUCAAAGGAUGUGCCAUGCUCUCUUUGAUACCAUUAUAUGCAUCAAUAUCUGCAUCACAAAUUAUUUAAGUUCUUUGACGUUUAAUUUCUUCUUAAUGUUUAUUUAUUUUUGAAAGAGAGAGUGAGAGUGACAGAGCAUGAGUGGAGUAGGGGGAGAGAGACACACACACAGAAAUCCA